ACUCACAAAAGUGACGGGUAGCAAAAACACUAGGAACCAAAAGCCUACGAAAGGGAUACAAGCCUAGAGGAAGAAAGAAGAAACUUUAUCCUGGAAGAUGAAGAGAUCAGAGAAUUAAAUUUUGGUACAACGUGCCCGCCCGUGUUGCGGCCACAUCCUUUGCCACAUCCGGGGGCUCCUCUUCGGGGUAGGCACCAAUCUCGUCGCCGCCACCUACCACCCGCUAGCCGCAGCGCGCCGAAAUUCGGCGGCAACAUGGAGGGCCCAUCAGCGACGGCAGCAGAGCAUCGCAACGGAUUGAAAUCAUAGAGCACCAGUGUCAGUGAGCAAGCACUCUCCGCUGCAGGACUUUGUACUUGUCAAGCCACGACUCAGGUGCAAGGUGAUGGCCCAUCGCACCCCCGCCAGCCCCUGUCGAAGCGCCAAUUACCAUCAACAGUUCAAGAAGACGAGGUUAUCUAGUAUUUUGAACCUGCAUAUUUAUGGUUCAGUAUGGUUCUCUUGCAACUCCGGCCAGCCAUGGAAGGAAAGCAAGCGAGGCUGCAAUCUGGUCAUGGUGGAGAACAGAACGAAAGCUAGGAAGCAAGUAUAGCAGGAUUUAUCUGCCAUCUGCUACCGCUGCACCGCUGGCAUCAUCAUCAAUUCCCAGCCUUCC